rnacentral:rRNA from 1 species
UCCGUAGGUGAACCUGCGGAAGGAUCAUUACAAUUCAGUAGCUUGCUACUGGUCGGGAGGUGCUGUAAGUCCGCAUAGUUUAAUUACUGAUGAGCGGCGAGCCCUCUGUCUGUACCCUUGUCUUUUGCGCACUCAUGUUUCCUCGGCGGGCUUGCCCGCCGACUGGACAAACUUAUAACCUUUUUAAUUUUCAAUCAGCGUCUGAAAAAACUUAAUAAUUACAACUUUCAACAACGGAUCUCUUGGUUCUGGCAUCGAUGAAGAACGCAGCGAAAUGCGAUAAGUAGUGUGAAUUGCAGAAUUCAGUGAAUCAUCGAAUCUUUGAACGCAACUGGCGCUAGGUGGCUAUCCACCCAGCAUGCUUGUUUCAGUGUCUCAUUUUCUCCUAACCAAAAUCUUAAUGCUUGAGAUACCCUUCUCUAGCUAAGUACGAAAGCACUCUGAGCCCUGCAGGUGAUUUGGCUUCGGCCAAGGCUCACACUCAAUGCAGCAGUCACAUUUCUAAUGUGAACUCAUUGAGAGGUAGGAGGUCAGGCGGCAGGUUUAUCUGGUAAGGUGGCUUAGGGCCCUCAAAACUCUUCUAGGCAUCUGGAAAUCAAGGCAGGGGGAUCACCCGCUGAACUUAA